rnacentral:rRNA from 1 species
GAGCUCGUAGGCGGUUUGUCGCGUCUGCUGUGAAAUCUGGGGGCUCAACCCCCAGCCUGCAGUGGGUACGGGCAGACUAGAGUGCGGUAGGGGAGAUAGGAAUUCCUGGUGUAGCGGUGGAAUGCGCAGAUAUCAGGAGGAACACCGAUGGCGAAGGCAGAUCUCUGGGCCGUAACUGACGCUGAGGAGCGAAAGCAUGGGGAGCGAACAGGAUUAGAUACCCUGGUAGUCCAUGCCGUAAACGUUGGGAACUAGAUGUGGGGGCCAUUCCACGGUCUCCGUGUCGCAGCUAACGCAUUAAGUUCCCCGCCUGGGGAGUACGGCCGCAAGGCUAAAACUCAAAGGAAUUGACGGGGGCCCGCACAAGCGGCGGAGCAUGCGGAUUAAUUCGAUGCAACGCGAAGAACCUUACCAAGGCUUGACAUAUACCGGAAACGUCCAGAGAUGGUCGCCCCGCAAGGUCGGUAUACAGGUGGUGCAUGGUUGUCGUCAGCUCGUGUCGUGAGAUGUUGGGUUAAGUCCCGCAACGAGCGCAACCCUCGUUCUAUGUUGCCAGCACGUUAUGGUGGGAACUCAUAGGAGACUGCCGGGGUCAACUCGGAGGAAGGUGGGGAUGACGUCAAAUCAUCAUGCCCCUUAUGUCUUGGGCUUCACGCAUGCUACAAUGGCCGGUACAAAGGGCUGCGAUACCGUAAGGUGGAGCGAAUCCCAAAAAGCCGGUCUCAGUUCGGAUUGAGGUCUGCAACUCGACCUCAUGAAGUCGGAGUCGCUAGUAAUC